UAUACCGUGAAACUGCGAAUGGCUCAUUAAAUCAGUUAUCGUUUAUUUGAUAGUACCUUACUACUUGGAUAACCGUGGUAAUUCUAGAGCUAAUACAUGCUAAAAACCCCAACUUCGGGAGGGGUGUAUUUAUUAGAUAAAAAACCAAUGCCCUUCGGGGCUCCUUGGUGAAUCAUAAUAACUUAACGGAUCGCAUGGCCUUGCGCCGGCGACGGUUCAUUCAAAUUUCUGCCCUAUCAACUUUCGAUUGUAGGGUAUUGGCCUACAAUGGUAUCAACGGGUAACGGGGAAUUAGGGUUCGAUUCCGGAGAGGGAGCCUGAGAAACGGCUACCACAUCCAAGGAAGGCAGCAGGCGCGCAAAUUACCCAAUCCCGACGCGGGGAGGUAGUGACAAUAAAUACUGAUACAGGGCUCUUUUGGGUCUUGUAAUUGGAAUGAGUACAAUUUAAAUCCCUUAACGAGGAACAAUUGGAGGGCAAGUCUGGUGCCAGCAGCCGCGGUAAUUCCAGCUCCAAUAGCGUAUAUUAAAGUUGUUGCAGUUAAAAAGCUCGUAGUUGAACCUUGGGCCUGGCUGGCCGGUCCGCCUCACCGCGUGCACUGGUCCGGCCGGGCCUUUCCUUCUGGAGAGCCGCAUGCCCUUCACUGGGUGUGUCGGGGAACCAGGACUUUUACUUUGAAAAAAUUAGAGUGUUCAAAGCAGGCCUUUGCUCGAAUACAUUAGCAUGGAAUAAUAGAAUAGGACGUGCGGUCCUAUUUUGUUGGUUUCUAGGACCGCCGUAAUGAUUAAUAGGGAUAGUCGGGGGCAUCAGUAUUCAAUUGUCAGAGGUGAAAUUCUUGGAUUUAUUGAAGACUAACUACUGCGAAAGCAUUUGCCAAGGAUGUUUUCAUUAAUCAGUGAACGAAAGUUAGGGGAUCGAAGACGAUCAGAUACCGUCGUAGUCUUAACCGUAAACUAUGCC
rnacentral:rRNA from 1 species